UUCAUGUUAACUUAACACACUGCUGCUUUUUAUAUCAGAGUUGCAUCCAGUUUCUUCAUACACUGAGUGUCGCCUCCAAAAUCAUUCAACGCUUACCUAAUUUGUCACCGAAUGUUUGAGUAUUGGCAAAUGCUCUAUAGGGGGUCCUUGGUUCUAUUCCAGCUGUCAUCUCAAGGAGGGAUAUCUCAAAGAGAGGAGAACUAUCUACAGUUCAAACAACUGUACAAAAAUGUAAAGAAGACUUGCGGUCAGGAUGUGAAACUUCUCUGUGGUGUGGGUGCCAUGACAACAUCUACAGCUACAUGGUUUCUCUUCUUCCAAUGAGAUUUAUUAUGGUUCCUAAAAGACCCGUUAGCAUAAAGACUCUACCGUUUGAUCAGUAUGCUCCCAGUGUCUUCAGGUAAAGCCAUGUAGUAUUCUCACUUAACAGAGGUAUACCGGCAAGAUUUUUACAAACAAUAGUGGUGGACAGGAAUUAGUGAGAAAGGGCUUAUCGGGUUUUUUCAAUUCGAGGCCCAAUUUUGAAAAAAAAUGCUGG